AUAUGAUAGAGAUGCUUGCUUCAAUACCAAAGUUUGAGGAUGACCAAGUGGCAGAUAGUGAUGAAGAGGGGCUGUUGGGCACUGAUCUCUGAGGCAAAUGAUUGAUGACCAUUAACCAAAUAGAAAUAGGAGUACGUUGUAGGCAAGUUCGCAAGUGGCAGUACGCAGGACUGCAACAAGAAACUUAUUUAUUGAGUUUAGGACUUAGAUGCUUGUAAUGUUGCAGACCUAUAUUAUCUCUAUCCGGCCACCAAAACAUAUUUACUUGUGGCUGUAAUGUUGCAGACUUGCACCAAUUAAGUUAGAAACUUUAUAAC